rnacentral:rRNA from 1 species
AACAAACGCUGGCGGCAGGCUUCAUACAUGCAAGUCGAGCGGAAAGGCCCUUCGGGGUACUCGAGCGGCGAACGGGUGAGUAACAGGUGGACAAUCUGCCCUCUGGCGGGGGGACAACAGCUGGAAACGGCUGCUAAUACCGCAUGUGGUUGCAUGCCCCAGGGUGUGCAAAGAAAGGCGCGUUUGCGUCACCAGAGGAUGAGUCCGCCCCCCAUUAGCUAGUUGGUGUGAUAACAGCGCACCAAGGCUUCGAUGGGUAGCCGAGCUGAGAGGUUGAUCGGCCACACUGGGACUGAGACACGGCCCAGACACCUACGGGUGGCAGCAGUAGGGAAUAUUGGACAAUGGGCGAAAGCCUGAUCCAGCCAUGCCGCGUGAGUGACGAAGGUCUUCGGAUUGUAAAACUCUUUUCUGAGGGAAGAAAUGACACGUGAGGAAAUGCUCGUGUCUUGACGGUACCUCAGGAAUAAGGGACGGCUAACUCCGUGCCAGCAGCCG